UACGUAGGGUGCAAGCGUUGUCCGGAAUUAUUGGGCGUAAAGAGCUCGUAGGCGGUUUGUCGCGUCUGCUGUGAAAACUCGGGGCUUAACCCCGAGCCUGCAGUGGGUACGGGCAGACUAGAGUGCGGUAGGGGAGACUGGAAUUCCUGGUGUAGCGGUGAAAUGCGCAGAUAUCAGGAGGAACACCGGUGGCGAAGGCGGGUCUCUGGGCCGAAACUGACGCUGAGGAGCGAAAGCGUGGGGAGCAAACAGG
rnacentral:rRNA from 1 species